AACGAACGCUGGCGGCAGGCUUAACACAUGCAAGUCGAGCGAGACCUUCGGGUCUAGCGGCGGACGGGUGAGUAACGCGUGGGAACGUGCCCUUCUCUACGGAAUAGCCCCGGGAAACUGGGAGUAAUACCGUAUACGCCCUUUGGGGGAAAGAUUUAUCGGAGAAGGAUCGGCCCGCGUUGGAUUAGGUAGUUGGUGGGGUAAUGGCCCACCAAGCCGACGAUCCAUAGCUGGUUUGAGAGGAUGAUCAGCCACACUGGGACUGGGACACGGCCCAGACUCCUACGGGAGGCAGCAGUGGGGAAUCUUAGACAAUGGGGGCAACCCUGAUCUAGCCAUGCCGCGUGAGUGAUGAAGGCCUUAGGGUUGUAAAGCUCUUUCAGCUGGGAAGAUAAGGACGGUACCAGCAGAAGAAGCCCCGGCUAACUCCGU
rnacentral:rRNA from 1 species